rnacentral:rRNA from 1 species
UACGUAGGUGGCAAGCGUUAUCCGGAUUUAUUGGGCGUAAAGGGAACGCAGGCGGUCUUUUAAGUCUGAUGUGAAAGCCUUCGGCUUAACCGGAGUAGUGCAUUGGAAACUGGGAGACUUGAGUGCAGAAGAGGAGAGUGGAACUCCAUGUGUAGCGGUGAAAUGCGUAGAUAUAUGGAAGAACACCAGUGGCGAAAGCGGCUCUCUGGUCUGAAACUGACGCUGAGGUUCGAAAGCGUGGGUAGCAAACAGG